GUGGGGAAUAUUGGACAAUGGGCGCAAGCCUGAUCCAGCAAUGCCGCGUGGGUGAAGAAGGUCUUCGGAUUGUAAAGCCCUUUCGGCGGGGACGAUGAUGACGGUACCCGCAGAAGAAGCCCCGGCUAACUUCGUGCCAGCAGCCGCGGUAAUACGAAGGGGGCUAGCGUUGCUCGGAAUGACUGGGCGUAAAGGGCGCGUAGGCGGCGCACUCAGUCCGGCGUGAAAGCCCUGGGCUCAACCUGGGGACUGCGCUGGAGACGGGUGUGCUCGAGGGUGGAAGAGGCUCGCGGAAUUCCCAGUGUAGAGGUGAAAUUCGUAGAUAUUGGGAAGAACACCGGUGGCGAAGGCGGCGAGCUGGUCCAUCACUGACGCUGAGGCGCGACAGCGUGGGGAGCAAACAGGAUUAGAUACCCUAGUAGUCC
rnacentral:rRNA from 1 species